UACGUAGGGUGCGAGCGUUAAUCGGAAUUACUGGGCGCAAAGCGUGCGCAGGCGGUUAUGUAAGACAGAGCUGAAAUCCCCGGGCUCAACCUGGGAACUGCCUUUGUGACUGCAUGACUAGAGUACGGCAGGGGGGGAUGGAAUUCCGCGUGUAGCAGUGAAGUGCGUAGAUAUGCGGAGGAACUCCGAUGGCGAAGGCAAUCCCCUGGGCCUGUACCGACGCUCAUGCACGAAAGCGUGGGGAGCAAACAGG
rnacentral:rRNA from 1 species